rnacentral:rRNA from 1 species
CCUACGGGAGGCAGCAGUGAGGAAUAUUGGUCAAUGGACGAGAGUCUGAACCAGCCAAGUAGCGUGAAGGAUGACUGCCCUAUGGGUUGUAAACUUCUUUUAUAAAGGAAUAAAACGAGGCACGUGUGCCUUUUUGCAUGUACUUUUUGAAUAAGGAUCGGCUAACUCCGUGCCAGCAGCCGCGGUAAUACGGAGGAUCCGAGCGUUAUCCGGAUGUAUUGGGUUUAAAGGGAGCGUAGAUGGGUUGUUAAGUCAGUUGCGAAAGUUUGCGGCUCAACCGUAAAACUGCAAUUGAUACUGGCAGUCUUGAGUGCAGUUGGGGUAGGCGGAAUUCGUGGUGUAGCGGUGAAAUGCUUAGAUAUCACGAAGAACUCCGAUUGCGAAGGCAGCUUACUAAACUGCCACUGACAUUGAUGCUCGAAAGUGUGGGUAUCAAACAGGAUUAGAUACCCUAGUAGUC